UUAUCACUGUAUGUAUAUGUAUAUACACUAAAUUUCUAAGCGUAGAUAUUCUAUUUUUUAAAUCCAUAAAUUGUUUUCAUGGGAACUAUAUUAUUGUGAGUGUUAUUUUCUAGUAUUAGUAAACUAAGUAAACAUUGAGCGUUUAUUUUCUACACACAUCUUAUUUCUUUUUUCUUUAUUUGAAACAUAAUACACUCGCUAUUGAAAACAUAUCUUUUCUGGGAAUUUGACAACUUAUUCGUGCACGCUUGACUUACCUGCGAGUCUUCCACUCCCCACUCCUCGUCAACCGAAAUUCGCCGGCUAACCCGCCGCGCGGGGUCUAGUUUAGUGUCGAAUAUCAGAGCGAUUAGGUGUGUUUCCGUGUCACUCUGUAACAGAUACAUAUUUCUCUUCCAUUACGUGGCAUUUUCGUAGUCAUUUCUUCAUCGCUUAAAACUACCCUAUUGUUAACUUCGUAUAAUUAAGACCAAUGAAUUGCUUGAUGGCGAAGAAAACUUCGAAAUAGUAGAGGGACUGUGAAAUUCAAGAGGUCGUCACGGUCCAUUAAUGAUGAAUUCAGGAAAAAUUUUUGUUAUCACGAAUAUUGUAAUACGAGUAUUACAAGUAAUCGUGUGAAUUACUUAUUGGAUCAUAAAAUCACGAAGUAUCGGAUCCUGUGGAAGGUUGUGCCUUUCUAAUGGAUUGAAACGGCCUAUAUGAAGUAUGAGACCCGUUGGAUUGUGCCGUACGAAAUAAAGGAACGGCUGGUCCAAUUUCAAUCUCGGUUUCUCUUCUGAUCUUUCUACAGUUCUCAUUCGUUCCUUGAACGAAACUGUACGAUAGUUUGCC